rnacentral:lncRNA from 1 species
CAUCAAUAUGGUUAAGAUUUUAAAAAUAAUUUUUACAUGUAAAUCAUAAAAACUUUUAGAUCAAAUCUAAAUUUUUUAUGAUUUUAAAUUAAAAUAAUUUUGAUUACACAAGAUUAGAUGUAACUAACUUCUUUGCAACUUGUACCACAUACAACAGCACCUAAGAUUUCAAGAUCUAAGAUUUUACAAGAAAGUAAGUUUUCUCUUUUCACUUUCUUCUUCAUGGGAUCUAAUCACAUGGCACCCCUACACGCCAUAAGAAUACCCCAUCGAAUGGAAAGAGAGGGGUUUUAAAUCUUUCUUGCUCCUAUGAUCAGACGGCCUGGUGAUCAACCCAAUCCAAGUACUUGCUAAUCGGAUCAUCUAAUCUCAUCAUAUAUUAGAUAUGCAUAAAUUUAGAUCUAAUCUAAAUUAUAUCAGAUCUAAUUAUAAUUUUAGAUUAUAUCUAAAUCAGAUUAUAAACAUCAUAUGCAUGACAUAAAAUCAAAUUUUAUCAAGGAUAAGCACAAACUAGGACAACCUUUUCACUAUAAGG